GGGGAAUAUUGGACAAUGGGGGAAACCCUGAUCCAGCAAUGCCGCGUGGGUGAUGAAGGCCUUCGGGUUGUAAAGCCCUUUCGGCGGGGACGAUGAUGACGGUACCCGCAGAAGAAGCCCCGGCUAACUUCGUGCCAGCAGCCGCGGUAAUACGAAGGGGGCUAGCGUUGUUCGGAAUUACUGGGCGUAAAGGGCGCGUAGGCGGCCCCGCGCGUCGAGCGUGAAAGGCCUGGGUUCAACCCAGGAACGGCGCUCGAUACGGCAGGGCUAGAGUGCAGGAGAGGAUGGUGGAAUUCCCAGUGUAGAGGUGAAAUUCGUAGAUAUUGGGAAGAACACCGGUGGCGAAGGCGGCCAUCUGGACUGCAACUGACGCUGAGGCGCGAAAGCGUGGGGAGCAAAC
rnacentral:rRNA from 1 species